CCUACGGGUGGCAGCAGUGAGGAAUAUUGGUCAAUGGACGAGAGUCUGAACCAGCCAAGUAGCGUGAAGGAUGACUGCCCUAUGGGUUGUAAACUUCUUUUAUAUGGGAAUAAAAUGUUCCACGUGUGGGAUUUUGUAUGUACCAUAUGAAUAAGGAUCGGCUAACUCCGUGCCAGCAGCCGCGGUAAUACGGACGAUCCGAGCGUUAUCCGGAUUUAUUGGGUUUAAAGGGAGCGUAGGUGGCAUGUUAAGUCAGUUGUGAAAGUUUGCGGCUCAACCGUAAAAUUGCAGUUGAAACUGGCAGGCUUGAGUACAGUAGAGGUAGGCGGAAUUCGUGGUGUAGCGGUGAAAUGCUUAGAUAUCACGAAGAACUCCGAUUGCGAAGGCAGCUCACUGGACUGCAACUGACACUGAGGCUCGAAAGUGUGGGUAUCAAACAGGAUUAGAUACCCUUGUAGUC
rnacentral:rRNA from 1 species